UGUAAAGCGACUUCUGGUCUCCAAAGGUACAGUAUGGAAAGGCAUGAGUAAACGAUUUUCAAUUCUCUAUAAUGGUAAGUGGCUCAAGAAUGUUGACUCCAGCAACAGCAGCAACAACCUCAUGGGCAACAGCAGCAACAACCUCAUGAGCAACAUUAGUCGUCCUUCAUCAUCUUCCACCACUAUUAGCCGGGACAAGUUCUGCUGUCUUUCCAGAGAAGAUGUCAUCCGUUUUAUUAUUGGCUGCCUUGGUGCUUU
rnacentral:lncRNA from 1 species